rnacentral:tRNA from 1 species
UCCCUAGUGGUCCAGCAGUUAAGACACUGUGCUUCUACUGCAGGGGCUCAGGUUCAAUCUCUGGUUGGGGGA